GAUGAACGCUGGCGGCGUGCCUAAUACAUGCAAGUCGAGCGAACAGAUAAGGAGCUUGCUCCUUUGACGUUAGCGGCGGACGGGUGAGUAACACGUGGGUAACCUACCUAUAAGACUGGAAUAACUCCGGGAAACCGGGGCUAAUGCCGGAUAACAUUUAGAACCGCAUGGUUCUAAAGUGAAAGAUGGUUUUGCUAUCACUUAUAGAUGGACCCGCGCCGUAUCAGCUAGUUGGUAAGGUAACGGCUUACCAAGGCAACGAUACGUAGCCGACCUGAGAGGGUGAUCGGCCACACUGGAACUGAGACACGGUCCAGACUCCUACGGGAGGCAGCAGUAGGGAAUCUUCCGCAAUGGGCGAAAGCCUGACGGAGCAACGCCGCGUGAGUAAUGAAGGUCUUCGGAUCGUAAAACUCUGUUAUUAGGGAAGAACAAAUGUGUAAGUAACUGUGCACGUCUUGACGGUACCUAAUCAGAAAGCCACGGCUAACUACGUG
rnacentral:rRNA from 1 species